AGAGUUCGAUCCUGGCUCAGAUUGAACGCUGGCGGCAGGCCUAACACAUGCAAGUCGAGCGGAUGAGGGUAGCUUGCUACCUGAUUCAGCGGCGGACGGGUGAGUAAUGCCUAGGAAUCUGCCCGAUAGUGGGGGACAACGUUUCGAAAGGAACGCUAAUACCGCAUACGUCCUACGGGAGAAAGCAGGGGACCUUCGGGCCUUGCGCUAUCGGAUGAGCCUAGGUCGGAUUAGCUAGUUGGUGGGGUAAAGGCUCACCAAGGCGACGAUCCGUAACUGGUCUGAGAGGAUGAUCAGUCACACUGGAACUGAGACACGGUCCAGACUCCUACGGGAGGCAGCAGUGGGGAAUAUUGGACAAUGGGCGAAAGCCUGAUCCAGCCAUGCCGCGUGUGUGAAGAAGGUCUUCGGAUUGUAAAGCACUUUAAGCUGGGAGGAAGGGCAGUAAGUUAAUACCUUGCUGUUUUGACGUUACCAGCAGAAUAAGCACCGGCUAACUUCGUGCCAGCAGCCGCGGUAA
rnacentral:rRNA from 1 species